GGACCCGCACAAGUAGUGGAGCAUGUGGUUUAAUUCGAAGAUACGCGCAGAACCUUACCAACACUUGACAUGUUCGUCGCGACUCUAAGAGAUUAGAGUUUUCGGUUCGGCCGGACGAAACACAGGUGCUGCAUGGCUGUCGUCAGCUCGUGUCGUGAGAUGUUGGGUUAAGUCCGGCAACGAGCGCAACCCACAUCCCUAGUUGCCAGCAGUUCGGCUGGGCACUCUAUGGAAACUGCCCGUGAUAAGCUGGAGGAAGGUGGGGAUGACGUCAAGUCCUCAUGGCCCUUACGUGUUGGGCUACACACGUGCUACAAUGGUAUCUACAACAGGAAGCAAGACUGCGAAGUUAAGCAAAUCCCUAAAAGAUACCUCAGUUCGGAUUGCACUCUGCAACUCGAGUGCAUGAAGCUGGAAUUACUAGUAAUCG
rnacentral:rRNA from 1 species